rnacentral:rRNA from 1 species
AAACGGCGGCCGUAACUAUAACGGUCCUAAGGUAGCGAAAUUCCUUGUCGGGUAAGUUCCGACCUGCACGAAUGGCGUAAUGAUGGCCAGGCUGUCUCCACCCGAGACUCAGUGAAAUUGAACUCGCUGUGAAGAUGCAGUGUACCCGCGGCAAGACGGAAAGACCCCGUGAACCUUUACUAUAGCUUGACACUGAACAUUGAGCCUUGAUGUGUAGGAUAGGUGGGAGGCUUUGAAGUGUGGACGCCAGUCUGCAUGGAGCCGACCUUGAAAUACCACCCUUUAAUGUUUGAUGUUCUAACGUUGACCCGUAUCCGGGUUGCGGACAGUGUCUGGUGGGUAGUUUGACUGGGGCGGUCUCCUCCUAAAGAGUAACGGAGGAGCACGAAGGUUGGCUAAUCCUGGUCGGACAUCAGGAGGUUAGUGCAAUGGCAUAAGCCAGCUUGACUGCGAGCGUGACGGCGCGAGCAGGUGCGAAAGCAGGUCAUAGUGAUCCGGUGGUUCUGAAUGGAAGGGCCAUCGCUCAACGGAUAAAAGGUACUCCGGGGAUAACAGGCUGAUACCGCCCAAGAGUUCAUAUCGACGGCGGUGUUUGGCACCUCGAUGUCGGCUCAUCACAUCCUGGGGCUGAAGUAGGUCCCAAGGGUAUGGCUGUUCGCCAUUUAAAGUGGUACGCGAGCUGGGUUUAGAACGUCGUGAGACAGUUCGGUCCCUAUCUGCCGUGGGCGCUGGAGAACUGAGGGGGGCUGCUCCUAGUACGAGAGGACCGGAGUGGACGCAUCACUGGUGUUCGGGUUGUCAUGCCAAUGGCACUGCCCGGUAGCUAAAUGCGGAAGAGAUAAGUGCUGAAAGCAUCUAAGCACGAAACUUGCCCCGAGAUGAGUUCUCCCUGACUCCUUGAGAGUCCUGAAGGAACGUUGAAGACGACGACGUUGAUAGGCCGGGUGUGUAAGCGCAGCGAUGCGUUGAGCUAACCGGUACUAAUGAACCGUGAGGCUUAACCUU